rnacentral:rRNA from 1 species
CCUACGGGAGGCUGCAGUGAGGAAUAUUGGUCAAUGGACGGAAGUCUGAACCAGCCAUGCCGCGUGCAGGAAGACGGCUCUAUGAGUUGUAAACUGCUUUUGUCCAAGGGUAAACCUGAAUCCGUGUAUUCAGCUGAAAGUACUGUACGAAUAAGGAUCGGCUAACUCCGUGCCAGCAGCCGCGGGAAUACGGAGGAUCCAAGCGUUAUCCGGAUUUCUUGGGUUUAAAGGGUGCGUAGGCGGAUUGAUAAGUUAGAGGUGAAAUGUCCGAGCUUAACUCGGGAACUGCCUCUAAUACUGUUGAGCUAGAGAGUAGAUGAGGUAGGCAGAAUGUAUGGUGUAGCGGUGAAAUGCGUAGAGAU